rnacentral:rRNA from 1 species
UUCGCCCUUAGAGUUUGACCCUGGCUCAGGACGAACGCUGGCGGCGCGCCUAACACAUGCAAGUCGAACGAGCGAGAGAGAGCUUGCUUUCUCGAGCGAGUGGCGAACGGGUGAGUAACGCGUGAGGAACCUGCCUCAAAGAGGGGGACAACAGUUGGAAACGACUGCUAAUACCGCAUAAGCCCACGGGUCGGCAUCGACCAGAGGGAAAAGGAGCAAUCCGCUUUGAGAUGGCCUCGCGUCCGAUUAGCUGGUUGGUGAGGUAAUGGCCCACCAAGGCGACGAUCGGUAGCCGGACUGAGAGGUUGAACGGCCACAUUGGGACUGAGACACGGCCCAGACUCCUACGGGAGGCAGCAGUGGGGAAUAUUGCACAAUGGGGGAAACCCUGAUGCAGCGACGCCGCGUGGAGGAAGAAGGUCUUCGGAUUGUAAACUCCUGUUGUUGAGGAAGAUAAUGACGGUACUCAACAAGGAAGUGACGGCUAACUACGUGCCAGCAGCCGCGGUAAAACGUAGGUCACAAGCGUUGUCCGGAAUUACUGGGUGUAAAGGGAGCGCAGGCGGGAAGACAAGUUGGAAGUGAAAUCCAUGGGCUCAACCCAUGAACUGCUUUCAAAACUGUUUUUCUUGAGUAGUGCAGAGGUAGGCGGAAUUCCCGGUGUAGCGGUGGAAUGCGUAGAUAUCGGGAGGAACACCAGUGGCGAAGGCGGCCUACUGGGCACCAACUGACGCUGAGGCUCGAAAGUGUGGGUAGCAAACAGGAUUAGAUACCCUGGUAGUCCACACCGUAAACGAUGAUUACUAGGUGUUGGAGGAUUGACCCCUUCAGUGCCGCAGUUAACACAAUAAGUAAUCCACCUGGGGAGUACGACCGCAAGGUUGAAACUCAAAGGAAUUGACGGGGGCCCGCACAAGCAGUGGAGUAUGAGGUUUAAUUCGACGCAACGCGAAGAACCUUACCAAGUCUUGACAUCCCUUGACGAUGCUGGAAACAGUAUUUCUCUUCGGAGCAAGGAGACAGGUGGUGCAUGGUUGUCGUCAGCUCGUGUCGUGAGAUGUUGGGUUAAGUCCCGCAACGAGCGCAACCCUUAUGGUCAGUUACUACGCAAGAGGACUCUGGCCAGACUGCCGUUGACAAAACGGAGGAAGGUGGGGAUGACGUCAAAUCAUCAUGCCCUUUAUGACUUGGGCUACACACGUACUACAAUGGCGUUAAACAAAGAGAAGCAAGACCGCGAGGUGGAGCAAAACUCAGAAACAACGUCCCAGUUCGGACUGCAGGCUGCAACUCGCCUGCACGAAGUCGGAAUUGCUAGUAAUCGUGGAUCAGCAUGCCACGGUGAAUACGUUCCCGGGCCUUGCACUCACCGCCCGUCA